rnacentral:rRNA from 1 species
CUGGCGGCGUGGAUAAGACAUGCAAGUCGAACGAGAUCCUUAGCAAAGCUUGCUUUGCUAAGUCUAGUGGCGAACGGGUGAGUAACACGUGAGCAACCUGCCCAGAAGCAGGGGAUAAGCCACCGAAAGGUGGUCUAAUACCGUAUGUGAUACCAAGAGGCAUCUCUUGGAUAUUAAAGGGGGGGACCUUCGGGCCUCUCACUUCUGGAUGGGCUCGCGGCCUAUCAGCUAGUUGGUGAGGUAACGGCUCACCAAGGCAACGACGGGUAGCUGGUCUGAGAGGACGACCAGUCACACUGGAACUGAGACACGGUCCAGACACCUACGGGUGGCAGCAGUCGAGAAUCAUUCACAAUGGGCGAAAGCCUGAUGGUGCGACGCCGCGUGGAGGAUGACAGCCCUAGGGUUGUAAACUCCUGUCAUGAGAGAGUAAAGACUUAACGUUAAUACCGUUGGGUCCUGAUAGUAUCUCAAGAGGAAGGGACGGCUAACUUCGUGCCAGCAGCCGCGGUAAUACGAAGGUCCCAAGCGUUGUUCGGAAUUACUGGGCGUAAAGCGUGCGUAGGUGGCAUGGUAAGUCAGAUGUGAAAUCCCGGGGCUCAACCCCGGAACUGCAUCCGAUACUGCCAAGCUAGAGUAGUGGAGGGGAGUCUGGAAUUCACGGUGUAGCAGUGAAAUGCGUAGAUAUCGUGAGGAACACUAGUGGCGAAGGCGAGACUCUGGACACUAACUGACACUGAGGCACGAAGGCUAGGGUAGCGAAAGGGAUUAGAUACCCCUGUAGUCCUAGCAGUAAACGGUGCGCGUUUGGUGUGGGCGGGUUCGACCCCGUCCGUGCCGAAGCUAACGCGUUAAACGCGCCGCCUGGGGAGUACGGCC